rnacentral:rRNA from 1 species
AUUGAACGCUGGCGGCAUGCCUUACACAUGCAAGUCGAACGGCAGCACGGGAGCAAUCCUGGUGGCGAUUGGCGAACGGGUGAGUAAUAUAUCGGAACGUGCCCAGUAGUGGGGGAUAGCCCGGCGAAAGCCGGAUUAAUACCGCAUACGACCUGAGGGUGAAAGCGGGGGAUCGCAAGACCUCGCGCUACUGGAGCGGCCGAUAUCAGAUUAGCUAGUUGGUGGGGUAAAGGCCUACCAAGGCAACGAUCUGUAGUUGGUCUGAGAGGACGACCAGCCACACUGGGACUGAGACACGGCCCAGACUCCUACGGGAGGCAGCAGUGGGGAAUUUUGGACAAUGGGCGCAAGCCUGAUCCAGCAAUGCCGCGUGCAGGAAGAAGGCCUUCGGGUUGUAAACUGCUUUUGUCAGGGAAGAAAUCUUCUGGGCUAAUACCCCGGGAGGAUGACGGUACCUGAAGAAUAAGCACCGGCUAACUACGUGCCAGCAGCCGCGGUAAUACGUAGGGUGCGAGCGUUAAUCGGAAUUACUGGGCGUAAAGCGUGCGCAGGCGGCUUUGCAAGACAGAAGUGAAAUCCCCGGGCUCAACCUGGGAA